rnacentral:rRNA from 1 species
UAAUACGUAGGUGGCAAGCGUUAUCCGGAAUUAUUGGGCGUAAAGCGCGCGUAGGCGGUUUCUUAAGUCUGAUGUGAAAGUCCACGGCUCAACCGUGGAAGGUCAUUGGAAACUGGGGAACUUGAGUGCAGAAGAGGAGAGUGGAAUUCCAUGUGUAGCGGUGAAAUGCGCAGAGAUAUGGAGGAACACCAGUGGCGAAGGCGGCUCUCUGGUCUGUAACUGACGCUGAUGUGCGAAAGCGUGGGGAUCAAACAGG